GGAUAAGAAAAACCUGGCAGAAAAGGAGAAAAAAAGGCCGAUUUCUUCAGGAUAAAGAUCCAUGUAAAAAGUGCCUUUUGCCCUCCACCAUGGUUGUGAGACAUUCCCCAGCCACAUGGAACUGUAAGUCCAAUUAAAACCUUUUCUUUUGUAAGUUGCCCAGUCUUGGAUAUGUUUUUAUCAGCAGCAUGCAAAUGGACUAAUACACAUAUUGAAAUGGUAUUUUGGAUAUAU
rnacentral:lncRNA from 1 species